GGAUGUGAAGGUGAUCUGGCUGUGGUAUCUGUCACCCCACUGAUGAUGGCCAAUUUGAUUCGGCUGAUCUGGCAGGCUAGGCUGGUGUCUCCUUCCUCCCUCAAAUCUCCAUGUGCAUCCCUCCUGAGGCUUUGUGCUCCAUGGAGGAAGGUGAUCUUCCCCCCAUAGAGGAGGAGGAUUCAGUCAAGGGUAAAUGAGUAGCUGCAUCCCCCUGCUAGACCUCCAAACAAAUUCUCAAGGUCCAUUCGUAGUAGAACGUAGGGUAAUCGAGUUUCUAAGCCUCCAGACACAUUCAAAUGGGGCACUGCCUUUCUUA
rnacentral:snRNA from 2 species